rnacentral:rRNA from 1 species
GCUAACUACGUGCCAGCAGCCGCGGUAAUACGUAGGGUGCGAGCGUUAAUCGGAAUUACUGGGCGUAAAGCGUGCGCAGGCGGCUUUUUAAGCCAGAUGUGAAAUCCCCGGGCUUAACCUGGGAACUGCAUUUGGAACUGGAAGGCUAGAGUGUAGCAGAGGGGGGUAGAAUUCCACGUGUAGCAGUGAAAUGCGUAGAGAUGUGGAGGAAUACCGAUGGCGAAGGCAGCCCCCUGGGCUAACACUGACGCUCAUGCACGAAAGCGUGGGGAGCAAACAGGAUUAGAUACCCCAGUAGUC